UAAUACGGAGGGCGCAAGCGUUGUUCGGAAUCACUGGGCAUAAAGAGCAUGUAGGCGGUCAAUUAAGUCGGAUGUGAAAGCCCUCGGCCCAACCGGGGAACUGCAUUCGAAACUGGUUGACUAGAGGACAGCAGAGGUGAGUGGAACUCCAGGUGGAACGGUGAAAUGUGUAGAUAUCUGGAGGAACACCGGUGGCGAAAGCGGCUCACUGGGCUGUCUCUGACGCUGAGAUGCGAAAGCCAGGGGAGCGAACGGGAUUAGAUACCCCGGUAGUCCUGGCCGUAAACGAUGGGCACUAGGCAAUGGGCUUACCUAUGGGGCUCCUUGCCGUAGCUAAUGUGUUAAGUGCCCCGCCUGGGGAGUACGCUCGCAAGGGUA
rnacentral:rRNA from 1 species